GCACUGCUGAGGUGUAGCACAAUAAGACGAAACGGCCGUCCAGUGC
rnacentral:hammerhead_ribozyme from 1 species